rnacentral:rRNA from 1 species
AUUGAACGCUGGCGGCAGGCUUAACACAUGCAAGUCGAGCGAGCGGCGGACGGGUGAGUAAUGUCUGGGACACUGCCUGAAGGAGGGGGAUAACUACUGGAAACGGUAGCUAAUACCGCAUACCAUCAGAUGUGCCCAGAUGGGAUUAGCUAGUAGGUGGGGUAAUGGCUCACCUAGGCGACGAUCCAUAGCUGGUCUGAGAGGAUGACCAGCCACACUGGAACUGAGACACGGUCCAGACUCCUACGGGAGGCAGCAGUGGGGAAUAUUGCACAAUGGGCGAAAGCCUGAUGCAGCCAUGCCGCGUGUGUGAAGAAGGCCGUCGGGUUGUAAAGCACUGUUAGCGAGGAGGCGUUACCCGCAGAAGAAGCACCGGCUAACUCCGUGCCAGCAGCCGCGGUAAUAC